rnacentral:lncRNA from 1 species
UAAUUUUUGAUGCUUUCACUUCUGAUUUGUUAUUCAAAUUUCUGCAUAUUGAUUCCAGCUUCUCUUUGCAGCAUAUGAUAUCUAUGAUUGUUGCUUGAUUUUGGUAUUAAUUUUUGUUUCUUGCUCUAUUUUGUACAUGCAUCCAAUAGUUGUAUCUCAUUUGAUUUGAAAGUAGAUACAUAGAUGUAUAUUUCUGAUAUAGUAUUGUUUCUCAUUUUGCAUGGGUAAGAUUGUUAUGGGAGUAAAUGGGUUCUUCAAGGAUGAAAUUAGCAGUAAAAUUGUGAUCGUAUUUUCUCUAUGAUUGUUGAUCUAGAAUCUUUAUUCUGUCAUGAAGUUAUCUGUGAACAUGUGCUUUUGGUCCCCAUUCAGUGGAUAUGUUAUUUGACAUAUGAUCCAUACAUUUAUGAUUUUUUUCCCGUCUUUUCUUCAUAUUUUUUUUUGUGUGAAUGUGAUUGUUGUUCAAAUAUAGUAAUGAAACAUAGAAGAAUUUUGAUGCAGUCAAGGCAUUUGACGAUAUGAUCGAAACAACUGAAUAAUUUUUAUCCUUCUGUUUCCACAGGUAUUCAGCAACAUACACAUCCAUCAUACAUUAAGCGAAAGGUACAUUAUUUACUUUUAUAAAAUUAGUAAACAAUAUAGUACUAUAUGUUAUGUGCUGUUUGUCGGUCAUGUUAAAGAAAUUAUUCUCCCAUUUGCUUCCAAUAUAUCUUUAGUACAUUGUUGGUACUAUCUGUUUCACUUUCAUCAACAACAAAAGUAUUAAAUUAUAAAUAAUUUGACAAAUUUACAAGUUUUUGGAACAAGACUACCUACAUACAAAGACACUAUGGAUUGAGUACCUAAAUCUCAGUUGAAGAAGAAACAACGACUCUCUCAGUAUAUGCUCUGAGGGGAUUCGAGUCUUUUUCAUUUCAUGUUAAUGUUCAUUAGUUAGGACGUGCUAUGUUUGUGGUAUGCUUGGUUUUCUCAUCAUCUCUGUAGAUACUAUUAAUGAUUGAUGCUUUUCAAUGAAUUAAUGUACACAUAUUCAUGUUCUUUGCUGCCAGUGGUUGAUGCUUUAGAACCGAGGUAAUUGGUAACUCUUGCAAUAUCUCAUGCCGUUGGCAUCGUUACAAUAAAUGUAUUAUCGGAAACUCAUUUUGUAAGUCGCAUAUUAGAGUUGAGAAGAUGACGUUCUUUACUAUGUGUUUUUCUCGACGCGUAGAGCAUUUUAUAGAUUCAGUUUUUAGGAAUCUAAGAUAUUUAGAUUCUAAUGAAAAGCAAAAGAAAUUCAUUUACAAGGAAAAAACAUAGUUGUUUGACUCAAAAGAUAUUGAAAUCUCUUUGAACAAUCAAUCAAAGAUGAAGGGGUAAAUCCUAGUCAAACUUAGUUAAUUCCAGAUCGAAAGGUUUAAUAAUGAUGAUUGCAUAAGUGACGAAGGAAAUAUCGAUAAUCUUAUUAAGAUUUAACAUCACUCGAUGAGAAAAGAGAAUUACAAUUGUUUUUCUCCUCUUAGUAUAUAGGAGUGGAGCUUUUCUUUUGAUUUCCCUUCUCUGGGAAUCCAGCCGCCCCCCUAUCGAAAGCCUUCCCUGGCUAUAUAUAGUUGAAAUUCCUUUACCCUGAAUGUGACUUGACGCGUUUUGGUCAAUGGUGCAUUCUGGUCGUAGCUUUAGGCGUUGCUCUUUUUGAUUUGUCGGGUAUCUCAGAGGAGAAAUGGAGUGGACUCUGUUGACUUUCAUUACCCGAUUGCUGAAAAGGGAGUUGUGGGCAACCUGGUCUUGGUGGUCAGAUUUUGACCAAUACAGUUAGUCCCUCUGUCUGUCGGGGUCGUCCUUUGUCGGGCUCGACAGACGGAUCAUGUUUGUAGCGAAGUCGAUAGAAAUCGGACCCCCAACUUUCCAUUCCUUAUUCGCAUUCCGUGGAUUUUUUGGCGGAGUGGAGGUGUUCUUUAGAUACUCGUGGACCGUUGCGAUGGUUUCGGAAUCGAAAUGUCGGUUGGCACUAAAGCGUUGGUCCGUGGUUGCCACCAUUAUGACACACGUUUCUAGGAAACUGAAAUGUUUCGUGCCCUAUCAGAUUCAAAUGGUGACUCAUAGAUUUCAUGCUCGGGGGAUUUAUGUCCCUUAUAAAUAGGGGAACUUGUCAUUUGAUUGAUUUACUUCAUCAUUUUUGUGAGAAAAUUCUUCAGAUAUUGCUUUUUCUGAUACCUUGAAUUUCUCCUUACCUUCUUGCUCUCUGAAACCUUUCGUCUCUUCUUCUUAUUACUUCUCUUGGCGAGUUUUCUACUAAAAAUGGACGACAAUUCUCCUCGCGAUGAUCUUCCUGCCGCUAAUCUGGUACUAGAGAGCCCUGUUCAGAUCGCCGGAGAGGCGGAUGCGGUGGAAGAUGAGGAGGUUCCCUCGGUGGAUGAGAUUCUACCUCGCCCCGGGAGGGAUGCGACUGACUUUAGUUUCGGCGGUGGAGCGGAGCUGGAACCCGUCGCUUCCACUGUUAGAGAAAAUGAGAUUGUAGAUUUGAGGGAACGGUAGGGAAUCCCUAAUUACGUAGAGAUACGGCCGGCGGAGAGGGACCACAGAGUUCACUUUGAUCGUCCUGGGUAUUGCGUGGUCUAUGCCUACCCCAUCAUUGUAGGAUACACACUUCCUCUUCCCAUGUUGGUGGUAGAUUUUUGCCGUUACUACGAAGUGUGCCCCGCUCAGCUUUUGCCUUAUUUAUACACUGCUCAAGUAUGCGGAACUUGCCGGUCAUGAGGUCACUUUGGGCCAUAUGCUUAGCAUUUUUGCUCCUCAACUGAUUUGCGGUACGAUGAUUCACGCAUAUCCUCAGGGGUCGAGGGGUCUGGUGGUGAAGAUGGACGACAGAACCAAUCGUCGUUUCUAUGAGAAUUACUUUUAUGUGUGGACCGAGCACAUUGUGGCGGACUCGACGGGAUUCCCCGAGAGAUGAAACUUCGCACGUAUGUUUGCAUCUUUAAUAAAUGAAAUGUUUGACCAUUUUCUGCGGAUGCUAAACCAUCCCGUCUUUUGUAGUUGAGAGAUUGCCCCCGCUGCCUGUCGAAGGGAUUCGUGAAUGGGUAGAGGCCAUUCUUGCCCAUACAAUGGGAGUUCGCACAUGGUCGACCUUUCACGAGAUGUUCGGAUACAAGCCUCUUAUAGGUGAGAUGAUGCCUUCAUCUACAGUUCUCUCUUUUUCUUUUGUUGUUUAGUCUCUUAUGCAUCGUUCGUCAUUACCAGGGAGGGUGCGAAGAGCAAGGACCCCUCAGCUAGCUUUUUGUCAGCCGGCCGCAUUCGCUCGCCUUGUUGCCGUAUCCACUAUACGACCUUCAUCGAGGGCUGCUUCGGUUGAAUCUUCGGCCUUGGUUACUCCAGCGAGGGCCACUUUUCAGGACGAGGUCCCGACCAAUGUUGUCCGUCUUACGAACGAGUCAUUGUCGACUGGAGAGGAAGAGGGGUCAUCGAAGAGAUGGAGAGUAGAGUUUGAGAUGGCGCCCCCGACAGUGAUUCACCUGGACGACUCUCUCCCGACGGGCUCUGGACAAGGUGUUGUUGCGGCUUCUCCCAUAGAGGCGUGAUAAGUUAGGAUUUUAACGUGUUUAUGCCCCUGCUUGCCUAUGCUUUGAAUAUAAAUUGCUACAAAAUAGUCCCAAAAUGCUCACAAGUUGUGCUUGAUUGCAGGUUUGAUUGACAAAGUGACGAAAUGUCAAAGAUCGGCUCAAAAAGGUGUGAAACCUGCUAAAGUAUCAAAGGCCAAGAGAAUUGAAGAAGUAAGGGCCUAGUGCGGACCGCACAACAGUGACCGCGGCCGCACUAGGAGGUUCAAAGAUAUGACAUAUUUAGGCUUAAAGUCACGCGGCUGCAGUAGGAUUUUCGCGGUCCGCAGUGAACUUCGCGGCCGCACUCCUACUUUGUGUUGUCCGCGUUCAUAAGGUUCAGAGAGUUGGACAAGGGACCAAAACCAUGCCACGCGGUCCGCGUCCUGUUUGUGCGGACCAUGCCAUACCCUCUACGCGGCUGCGCUGCAUUUUCACGCGGUCCACGUCCUCCAGUUUAGAGAGCUUAAAGUUGAAGUCAAUAGAGCCAGUGCGGCCGUGGUUUCUUUUGUGCAGCCCGCACUGACCCCGCAGGGCUAUUUUUGUCCAGUUUUUCCAGCCCACUAUAAAAAGGACAUUUUACCAUUUUUAGGUCAAGUUUGGUAUUCAGAAACGCACCUGAACUCGUGAGACCGAUAUUGUAGCCAUUUUUGGCACUUUUGCUUCC